AUGAGAACUCUGUGCUGGAACUGUCGUGGAAUUGGCGAUCCCGCGACGGUUAGAGAGCUCUGUGAGCUCAUUCGGGAGUGUGCACCGUCGGUGGUCUAUAUUGUGGAGACACAAUUAUCGAAACGGAGGGUGGAGGGUCUGACGACGACGUUAGGCUUUGAAGGAGGGUUUGCAGUAGCUAGCUCUGGUAGGAGUGGAGGUUUAGGAAUUUUCUGGAAGGAUGGUCUG
rnacentral:rRNA from 1 species